rnacentral:rRNA from 1 species
UGGGGAAUAUUGGACAAUGGGCGCAAGCCUGAUCCAGCAAUGCCGCGUGUGUGAAGAAGGCCUUCGGGUUGUAAAGCACUUUUAUCAGGAGCGAAACGCUGUCGGCUAAUACCCGGCGGAACUGACGGUACCUGAGGAAUAAGCACCGGCUAACUUCGUGCCAGCAGCCGCGGUAAUACGAAGGGUGCAAGCGUUAAUCGGAAUUACUGGGCGUAAAGCGUGCGUAGGCGGUUUCUUAAGUCUGCUGUGAAAUCCCCGGGCUCAACCUGGGAAUGGCAGUGGAUACUGGGAGGCUAGAGUGUGUCAGAGGGUGGUGGAAUUCCCGGUGUAGCGGUGAAAUGCGUAGAGAUCGGGAGGAACAUCAGUGGCGAAGGCGGCCACCUGGGACAACACUGACGCUGAGGCACGAAAGCGUGGGGAGCAAACAGGAUUAGAUACCCUGGUAGUCCACGCCCUAAACGAUGCGAACUGGAUGUUGGUCUCAACUCGGAGAUCAGUGUCGAAGCUAACGCGUGAAGUUGACCGCCUGGGGAGUACGGUCGCAAGAUUAAACUCAAAGGAAUUGACGGGGUCAUAGCUGUUUCC